rnacentral:tRNA from 1 species
GAGCUCGUGGCGCAGUCUGGUAGCGCGCAUGACUGAUAAUCAUGAGGUCCGGAGUUCAAAUCUCCGCGGGCUCA